UCACGUGAUUGCUAACCAAAUGCUGACACGAUCAACCUUCACCCAUGAAUGGACUACACGUGAGAAGAUGAUAUGAACCUUCUGCUCUCUUUGGCAGAACUUCUUCUUUAAAAAAAACAUGAUAUUCAUCCUCUUCUAGAAUUCCUGAGCAACACCCAUCUUCACUGGCAUCCAUGCCGACACUUCCUAAAAUCUACGACUGAUACAAAGCUGCUGGAAGUUUCUAGAAUGAAGGUCUUAUAAGAGCUUUAUAAAAAGAAUACGUGAGCAAGGGGAGGAUGUGGGGAAGGUGGCUGAUGAUCUGACUUCUAGACCAAGAGCACCUGGAACCACAGAACCACAGGCCCAGCGCCU
rnacentral:lncRNA from 1 species